ACACUUUCAAGUUGAGUACUCAUAAUCUUUUGGGUACUGUGAUUUUCUUCUUGAAUAGGAAGAUCUGAUGC